CGACGUGUAGCUCAGCAGGAGAGCACCGGGCUCUGGUCCCGGAGGGCGCGGGGGCAGUACCCGCCACGUCGGCCA
rnacentral:tRNA from 1 species